CAUUGAAUACAAUUAGGGUCAAUAUUUGACCCGCUCCAUCAAAAUCGUCACAAAAAUCGAACACAAUACAAGGGUUAAAAACAAUCUGGUACUACCAUAUUUGGUACAUGUCCAAAUAAAAAACAAUAUGGUAUUACCAUCCCAGAGGAAUUUUUGUAUUACUCAGGCUGCUGUAUAUCUCAAGAGACUUAGUCUUUGUUUAGUAUCAAAUGUGUCCCAGAUGUUUCUUUUUAAAUUCCUUAAUAGAUAGAAAGAUACAAAUUCGACUUGAAUAAUACUUGAACUUCUUGAUAUCUGAUUGAAGACUUUGGCACAUCUGAGCAUAAUUUGAUACCUUAUUGAGAUCUCUUCUGAAACUCUAGAGAGGUGACAAAACAUCUCAGAUCCCUUUUAUUUGCAUUAUUUUCACCUAUUGCUCAUUUUUUAUUAGUGCAUAACAACGAAAUAUAUCUUUAUUUUUGGUCAUUUAUAUCUGCGGUAAUACUUUUCAGCUUUUUAGCUUGUUUUAAGAGCCAAAGGUGUUCAGACAUUAUGGGGCGGUUUCCCAGACAGGGUUUAGAUUUAUCCAGAACUAGGCCUUGGUUUUUUUUUAGCAGUAACAACAUAAACAAGCGGCUUUCGUGGUCAUCACGUAACUUCCGGUAAACUUCGGUAAGACAAAAUAACAACAAAGUCCUUUUAAAGUAGUUUAUUUAUAUAACGGCAAAAUAAACAACACGUAGAUUACCUAGCAAACCAAAACAUUUGUUAUUUUCGACGAGGUAUUUGUUUAUGUUUCAGUUUCAGCAACUAGUCAGACCAUUAAACAAACAGAAACCGGAAGUAAAGUUCGGAUCAGAUGCUUAUCGCGUCACCGCACGUGCAUCCGAUAAAACCGUCUAUACUAGGACAAUUUAAUAGUUUUUACAAACAUACCUUAAAAAGACAUUAUUGAUGUGCAUCUAGCAAUGACACUGUUAUAUUUCAAGCUAAUAUUAGUUAGGACUCAAAAAAGCAUUUUAGUCUUGGACUAGACUUGAUUUCCUCUAAGCAGUUUAUGCAGCGAAUACAAUGAAAGAAUGCAUUAUGUCAGCUAACCAAUAACAUAUGUAAAGCAAUUUGCUGGUGCAAACUUACAUUUACAUCCAAACGUCCGUACUUAAAUAAUAUAUACUCUUUACUCUAAUAAUAGUGAUGCCCGCAAUGUAUCAUGCAAAUCACAGAAAUUUCCCCCAAAGCAAAAUUCCCAUGCUCCUAAUCCGCUGUGUGCUCCUGGUAUGUGUCAAUUAUCCUCUCUCACCAACUUCCACAUAGCCUCCCAGUCUCCAUGCAUCGUUCCUCUGUAACGUUUUCUGCGAGCGCUCCUGUCAAAUGUUUGUUAUGUUAGCAGCGCUCGCCAGCACUCCCAGUCGCCCCCUUGAAACCUCAUUCAUUUGGCCUGCCUGACUCUCAGCCCUUGCGCAACUGCAUUGCACAAAUAAUUAAAGGCUUUAGUUAAAUACAUAGUUGGGGUAUUUGGAGACUAGGGGGAUCUGUAAUAACAUUUGCCAUUAUUCACUCAGGCUUUGAUUGCCUGACAGAAACAAAUUAGGCCCUAGGAUUAAUUUCCAGCAAAACGUGCCAAGUGAAUGCAAUUGACUCCAAUUAAAGCAUGAAAGGACACUAAAUAUUCAAAUCAGCCGAGCGGGUGAUAGCGGGCCGAUAAAGAAUGGCGUGGAAUUGUGCCAAGGGAGAAAACCAGCCGUUCACGGGCACCUGAGGGAAAAUAACAGGGUCGUGUAGCAAUAAUGUGUAGCUGGGGCAACAGACAUGUUUCUGCGCUAGAACAUGCCCCCGCUGGCGUGUUGUUUUGGUCGGGUCACGUCGACGGUCGUUCUGUGUUUAGAGCUGAUUUGACUAUCAAGGCCACAUUAAAACACCUAAGUGCUUAUGUAUUAUACAUGCUAAGUGCUUGUUCAGGUUUAUGCGGAGGCACGUUUUGUAAUAGGCAGGGUUGUCACAUACAUGGGCGUAAUUAGGGUGAUUAAAAAAUAAUGUCCCAGAAUGCAAAUUUCACACUGAUGGUGGCAUCUGCAAUCAUAACAUGUGCACUGUGGGAUUGCUUGUAGUGUAUGUACAGUAAGAUUGUUAAUAGCACGAUUAACUCGUUUCCGAUUCUGGAUUAUAUUUAACAUCCGAUACAUUAAAUUCUGUCUUAAUUAUUGAUUUACAUUGAAUAUAUUUGGAGUAUCUCAACAGGUUGCAGUAUGAGGAGCUGGAUAGUUUGACCCUCGGAUGGAAGUGGUGGCCGUGGAUGACUUCCGUAUGAACUUUUAAAGGCUGCAAAAGUCAUUAAACAUGUGGUUGAAGAAGAUUAGGCCUUGAGAAGCCCAGCUGAGCCAACAGCUGGCUAACAGCCCUGUAACACAGACAUUGACGGAGGAGCCAGACACACUUAACAAACAAAGUGGAGAUCGGUGAAAAGCAGUAUCCCGUUUCGAGCACUCUUGACCUUUACCUGUUUUGGCUGGCAUGGGCCGGUUACCGGUUUCAAGGUAUACCGAGGUUUUAAUCAGUCAAGAUUUCAAAACCACUAAAAUGUUCUUUGAUGCCGUCUCCAAGGUAUGAGCUGUGUUUAUACAAAAUUCAUUAAAAGUCAUGUGAUUGAUUUGAUGUUGACAUUUAAUAUACAUUAUGAAAAUAGUAUAUAUUUUUAAAAGCAUUUUAUAAUUGAAAGCAGUGUUUCCCAACCAGGGGGCCGGGGCCCACAGGGGGGCCUCAGCAGAUUUCCAAGGGGGCCUCAAGAUGACUUAAAAUUAUUAAAAAGUGAACAAAACAAGCAUUAAAAUAAAUGAAAACAAGCAAAUAUCAAGAUGUUUCUUAUUUUCGGGCCAUUUUAGUUAAAAAUAUACAUAUGUCUAGUA